GCUGCUAGGAGCUCCUUCUCCUGCAGGCCCCAAGCAAGCAAGGAAGGAGGCAGGCAGGCAGGCAGAGUGGCCCCUUCAGUUCUCUGCAGCAGACCCUCUGCCACCCAGCCCAGCCAGCCCAGCAUUUGCCAGGUAUCUAGAAAGAAGACUUCCUCAUCCAUACAUCAUGCUUUUGCAAAGGGGCCGGAUGUUGUGAUGUUAGAUGGGAUGCUGAAGGCUUCUUCUCUUGGAGUGUAUUGGAAGCUGAUUCAUUGCUGGCACACAAGUCAUAGCUUUAGAUGCAGAAAGUUUUGUUCCAGGCAUAGCGAUGUCAAGUGUGUCUUUAUUUAAAAGUUAAAAUUGAUGUAAAAAUGAUCCAGUGGAAAGUGUUGGACUUGCAUCCUGGAAGUCUGGCUUUCAGUACAGCCUCACACAGGGCCAAAAGCCAGGAAGGAUUUUACACUGUUUGGCAGAAAUAUGAGAAAGAUGACCAUGAAUGUCACUUGAAAACAGGCUCUAGCAGGCAGAGGUGCUUAAAGAUGUGCCCACUCUCGUUCUAAAACAUACGCAGUACACUGAGAGAUAAUCCAUGGGCUAAACUUCUUUACUACCAGAACAUACUCUGCUGUGUGAGGACUUUAAUGUUUCUCCUCACACCCAUCAACAGAUGACAGGUACAGCAAGCAACUGAAGGCAAGAGUGUUGGAGGAGGAAGUUGAGGAAAUGAGGAGCCAUUGAAAAAGAGGGGUGGGUAAAUUCCUCACAUCGGACCUAAGGACGAAGAUACUGUGUUCUGAGACAGGAAAAGAAAUUGAGAAGGCACAGGGAGGGAAAUAAUGGGGACUGAAAUUAAUAAACAUAUGGAAUAACCAGCCAAAUAUCUGACUGUAGAUCUCUAGUGCUUGUAUAUAGUGUUACCCACACUGGGAGCAUACUUUGUGGAUAUAAAACAAAUCCUGUGGAGGUUUCGUCAAAAUUUUGUAUGAAUAAAUGGGUGCUAACAACAAAUGCAGCACACAGGGAAAAUGCAUCAUGGCAACACAUUAACAAUUAGAGCAACAUCUCAUCAAGACUCUUGGCCAGCAUGUGGUUAUCAAUUAAAAAAGCAUCAAGAGGAAAUAAGGGUUGGUUCCAGUGCUGUGUUGGGGAAUGAGCCAUGGAAUUCCCAUUACUGAUAAUAGAAGCUUUGCAAAUAAUUCUCAGAACUGUGUACUUUAAGCUUUGUGCACCCUGGUGGUGGGUUUUUUGUUUGUCUUUUGGCAGAACUGGCAUUAUAUGCCAUAUCUUCCAUUGUAGUAAGAAGCUGUAAGAACGGUUUGCUCUCAGAAUGGGAAUAAGUAUGAAAUGCUUGGGCCAGGGAGUGAGUGAUUGAAUUCUCUCCCCACCCCCUAAAAGUAGUAAAAAUUAAAAUCCUCAGUUUUAAUCAGUUUAAGACUUGCUUAGACCCUAUACUUUUAAAAUAAAUUCAGUGUAACCAUGUUCAGCAAUUCAUACUGUAAUGAAAUAGGAUUCCAGUUUGAUAUUCUUAUUGAAACUCAUGAUGGUUUUUUUUAAUAAGCUCAUUUUCAAAGCAGUGUUAAAAAUACUGAGAAACACUGACAAGCCAAGGUAUUGAUAUUUUGAUUCUGAGAUUGUAAUAUGAGAUAAACUGCUGUAUAAUGUAUUACUUAUAUAUUAUACAUCAAGUACAAUAUAUCUAUAUUUUAAUAAAAGAAGUGACAUGA